UGCAGUGAGUCAGUCUGAAGCU
rnacentral:miRNA from 1 species